GCAUAUCAAUAAGCGGAGGAAAAGAAACCAACAGGGAUUGCCCCAGUAGCGGCGAGUGAAGCGGCAAGAGCUCAGAUUUGAAAUCGUGUUUCGGCACGAGUUGUAGAGUGUAGGCGGGAGUCUCUGUGGAGCGCGGUGUCCAAGUCCCUUGGAACAGGGUGCCUGAGAGGGUGAGAGCCCCGUAGGGUGCUGCGCGAAGCUUUUGAGGCCCUGCUGACGAGUCGAGUUGUUUGGGAAUGCAGCUCCAAGCGGGUGGUAAAUUCCAUCUAAGGCUAAAUAUUGGCGAGAGACCGAUAGCGAACAAGUACUGUGAAGGAAAGAUGAAAAGCACUUUGAAAAGAGAGUGAAACAGCACGUGAAAUUGUUGAAAGGGAAGGGUAUUGGGCUCGACAUGGGGGGUGCGCACCGCUGUCUCUUGUAGGCGGCGCUCUGGGCGCCCUCUGGGUCAGCAUCGGUUCCUGCUGCGGGAGAAGGGGCUCCGGAAAGUGGCUCUUCGGAGUGUUAUAGCCGGGGCCAGAUGCCGCGUGUGGGGACCGAGGACUGCGGCUUCUGUCUCGGAUGCUGGCAUAACGGCGCAAUACCGCCCGUCUU
rnacentral:rRNA from 1 species